GAUAUGAGGGCAAUGUGGUUGCUACAUGUGACCCCAUUGAUUGCCAGGAUAGAUUCUGCUGGCCUGGGGCACAGGGGACAUUCCUUUAUUCCUUUAUCACUC
ensembl:misc_RNA 7SK 7SK RNA